AUGACGGCCUUAACCUGUCAGACUGGCUUCAGUGUCUGGCAUCAUUCUGGGACCACAUUAAACUUUAACAGCUGCAAGAAGCAUCUUUCCAUGGAGCUUAAAUGCGUUUUCCAGCACAUAGUUAAUCAACUGAAGAAAGGAUUGGGCACUGAGCUUGUUGUACUUGAGGAACUCAUUCAGCAAAUGGCAAAUGUACAGUACACUGAGAACAUGACUGGUGGACAGGUUGAUGCUAUGGCAGGAAGUGAAACAUUGCGGCUUCAAUCUUCGCCGUUUGGAUCAACACGGAACUAUAAGGCCCUGAAUAAUAAGUAUCCUAACAAAUUUCGGGAUUCUUUGCUUCCAAAAGAUUUUGCAAUUCCAAGAUUAUAA
rnacentral:rRNA from 1 species